UAUUUUCUGUUUGGUUCCUGGGAAAUCCAUUACGAUUUACGACCCUGCUUUCCCCUCUCUAAAAUCGGAAACAAUUUCAUUCUCUCCAUAAAGCAAAGAGAAUGGUAUGAAUCAAGCCCACCCAUGAUCCCAUCAACCCUUAAAACCCUCCUCCUCCUCUCCUUCGCCCUCAUCCUCUACCUCCUCCUCCACGUGCCGCCACCUUACCUCCCCCAGUCACUGCUCUCCACCCCCCACGAGGCGGCGCCGCUGCCCACAUCCUCCCACCAUCUCCUUUUCUCAAUCGCCUCCUCUGCCGGCUCCCUCAGCCGCCGUGCCCCCUACCUCCGCCUCUGGUCGAAUUCCGCCCGCGCCAUCCUCUUCCUCGACUCGCCGCCACCCCCUGAUCCCUCCUUCGCCGCGCUCCCGCCGAUCGUCCUCUCCGGAGAUACCUCCCACUUCCCCUACACCUUCCGCCGUGGCCUCCCUUCCGCCGUCCGCGUCGCGCGGAUUGUCAAGGAGGCCGUCGACCGCAACGAGUCCGACAUCCGGUGGUUCGUCUUCGGCGACGAUGACACGGUCUUCUUCGUCGAUAAUUUAGUAAGAACGCUGUCGAAGUACGAUCACGAUCAAUGGUUCUACGUUGGGAGUAGCUCGGAGAGUUACGAGCAGAAUGAAUCGAACUCGUUUGAUAUGGCGUUCGGUGGUGGUGGCUUUGCAUUGAGCCAUUCGCUUGCUAGGGCUUUGGCUGGGGUUUUUGAUUCUUGUCUUAUGAGGUACCCGCAUUUGUUCGGAAGUGAUGCUAGGAUUUUUUCAUGCUUGGCAGAGCUGGGUGUCGGGUUAACGCAUGAACCGGGAUUUCAUCAGGUUGAUAUUCGCGGAAAUUUGUUUGGGAUGCUGUCUGCACAUCCAUUAUCACCUUUGGUGUCCCUUCACCAUUUGGAUAGUGUGGAUCCAAUCUUCCCUAACAGGAACAGGACUCAAGCUUUGGAACAUCUUUUCGAAGCUGUAAAUAUUGAUCCUGCCAGGAUUUUGCAGCAAACCAUCUGUUAUGACCGUUUGAGUUCAUUGACUAUUUCAGUUGCAUGGGGUUUUUCUAUUCAGGUGUUUGAAGGCAAUCUACUUCUUCCAGAUCUCCUUCCAUUGCAGAGAACUUUUACACCAUGGAGGAGAGGUAGGAAUAUUAGCUUGAGUCGCUAUAUGUUUAACACGAGAGAGUAUCCAAAAGAUCCAUGUAAAAGGCCUGUUGUUUUCUUUCUUCAAAGUAUUGGUUCUAACCAUGAUGGGGUCUGGAGUAACUACACCAGGCAUGCCGUUGGAAACUGUGGGCAAACUGGUGCUAUAAAGAACUUGGAGCAGAUUAGGGUGUUGUCACAGAAGCUAGAGCUCAAUAUUGAACAGAUGAAGGCUCCUCGUCGUCAGUGCUGCAGCAUUUUUCCUCAAUUCAAUAAAUCAAUGGUUCUUAGCAUUAGACAAUGUGGAGUAGAUGAACUAAUUUCCAUGCAUUUAUAGAGACUCCUUGGACAUUUCUGCUCUUGAGGAAAAGCAUUCUGUUGUACAAUACAAACUUUGAAGCACUUUGGUCUCCUUAUUUAAAUUUCAGGAAAAAGGAAGUUGCUUUAAAGAUGUCGAAAAAGACAGGCUUCAAGGAAGGAAACUAUCCGUGCAGUCUUCUACCAGCUAAGGUUUUUGGUGAAGAAUUAGGAUUACUGUUUUGUCUAAUAAAAACUCAUACCAAUGGCCUCGUUACCGGAUGACUAUACCAAAAGAAGAGACUUGAAGAGAUUAUCAUAGAGGAAUUGAUAAUAUAGCUAACACAAAUUAUGAAAACUUGAUAUCAAUUACAGAGUCCUUUUAUGUAUUCAUUCUGUUGUGCACUUGUGCAACUUUGUGAACUUAUAGCAAACUGAUUACAGUUGAUUGAUUGAUUGAUUUAUUUAUUUGUUUGUUUUGUGAAAUUCAUUUCUUACGACUGUAUUCAGUUUUAUAUAUAUCUUGGAAAAUCAAUAAAUUUAUAGUGUUUCUCUUCUUGCUUGUUCGAGCCUUACCCAAGAAGAUCAAUUACGCUGGAAUUUCAGAGCAGGGCAGUUAAGCUUGGGCCCAGUCUCUGUUUGUCUGGCAGGAAAAACCCAUGACGGGAAAAUCCCAUGGUACUUUACCCACUUCUUGAGUUCCUCAGUACAAUUCAACCUGCUUAGGAGUGUCUUAUGAACCAGGCAAGUUUCUGAACGCAUCAAAGUUCGGGGGUUUAACACUCACACAAUGUAAACUUCUGAGCAAUUCUCACAUGAGUGGCAAAA